UGAACGCUGGCGGCGUGCCUAACACAUGCAAGUUGAGCGGUAAGGCCCCUUCGGGGGUACACGAGCAGCGAACGGGAGAGUAACGCGUGGGUAACCUACCCAGAAGUAGGGGAUAGCUCCGGGAAACCGGGGGUAAUACCGCAUGUACUUUGGUCGGCAUAAGUCGACUUUUGAAAAGGCGGGGAUCCUUCGGGACCUGUCGCUUCUGGAUGGGCCCGCGUCCGAUUAGCUAGUUGGUGGGGUAAUGGCCUACCAAGGCUUCGAUCGGUAGCCGGCCUGAGAGGGUGAACGGCCUCAUUGGGACUGAGACACGGCCCAGACUCCUACGGGAGGCAGCAGUGGGGAAUUUUGGGCAAUGGGCGCAAGCCUGACCCAGCGACGCCGCGUGGAGGAUGAAGGCCUUCGGGUUGUAAACUCCUGUCAGGUGGGAAGAAAUGUCCAUCGGUUAAUACCCGAUGGAAGUUGACGGUACCACCAAAGGAAGCCCCGGCUAACUCC
rnacentral:rRNA from 1 species